CAGGGUUGGGGGGGCGGGGGGAGGAAACAAAUAAGUGAAGGAGAUUAAGAGGUAGAAACCUCCAGUUGCAAAAUAAAAUGAGUCAUGGGUAUGAAAUGUAUGGUGUGAGGAACACAGUCAGUAACUAUAUAAUAUCGUUGUAUGGUGACACACCAUAGUAACUAGACUUAUUGUGGCAAUCAUUUUGAAAUGUCCAGAAAUACUGAAUCACUAUGUUGUGUAACAGGAACUAACACAGUGUUGUAGGUCAAUUAUACUUCAAAAACAAAUGAACUCACAGAAAAAGAGAUCAGAUUUGUGGUUACCAUUGGCAGCAGGUGGGGCUGAGAAGGUGGUGGGGGGAGGAUUGGAUGAAGACAGGCAAAAGGCACAAACUUCCAAUUACAAGAUAAGUAAGUACUAGGGAUGUAACAUACAACACGAUAAAUAGAAUGAACACUGCUCUGUGUUAUACAUGAAAAUUGUUACGAGUAAAUCCUAAGAGCUCUCAUCACAAGGAAAAAACAUUUUUUUCUAUUUCCUAAUUCUGUAUCAAUAUAAGAUGAUGGAUGUUCACUAAACGUAUUGUGGUAACCAUUUCAUGAUGUAUGUAAGUCAAAGUACACCGUAAACUUACACAGUGCUGUAUCUUAAUUAUAUCUCAAUAAAACCAGGAAAAAAAAAAAAAGAAAAAAAAAAAGGAGAGAUGUUUUCAGAGCCCCUGAGGUUGGUGGGGUGGAAAGGGUCAGCUGGCCUCACCGCAGGGCUAGCCUCUCCCUCUGCUCUGGGCACCGACCUCAGAGCCUACGAGAGCUCCACCCCUGUACCCUGCUUGGUGAGGCCAGGAGGGCCCUUUUCAGCAAGACCUCAGCCUUCAGGACCCCCACCCUCUUUAAAUGUGCCAUGAGAGUGUGCCAGACUGCUGCUCAGGGACGUGGACACGACCAAACUCCCGCUAAACCAGGAGGAAGUCCUAGACUUCGGGACACUCUGCCCUCGGUCCGUCUGAUAAUUAUCCAUUCCCAGCUUCUGGAACCUCAGUAUUACUACAGACUUAACAAGCUGUUAAUGGCCUUUGCCAGAAAAAAAUAAAAAGAAACGCGAAGCAAUCACCAAACCUAAGCAGCUCGAGUCCUGAACACUGGUUUUAAGGCCCCAAGUUGGAAAACACGAACUGCUUCCUAAGAGGCUAUCCUGGGCCAAGCAUCACGCCAAAAACUUGAGCCUCCUCCUUUCAGCAACCGUACAAGGAAGUACUGGUCUCCUUCCCAUUUUACAGAUGCAGCUGCUCAGUCUCCAAGAAUCAAGAGGGGUGGGUGGUGGAGUACUCCAUCCUCUUGUGUCCCCUAGACCACCCCCAACCCCCCGGACAUCUUGGAAGUCCAAGGCCACUGCUGAUUUCCACACCAAGAGUAUCUCUAGUGUGUGGCUGAGGAAUCUGAGAGUUUCUGACUCAGGAGAGGGAACGCUUGGCUUUCAGACCCUGCCACCCCUCCCACAGGUUCCUGCGGAGGUCAGCUCAAGCCGGCCGCCUGGCAGGAAGGGGCCACUCUGGUAGCUUAAAAGGAGCUGGUGAAAACACAAGCUCUGGGGGAUUUGAGGAAAGAAAAGAAAACUGGAGCUGCAAUUGGUGUGGGCUUGCUUCCUUUUAGGAUUAAGGGGCCAACGAAAGACAAGGACCUCCCUAAAAAUCUUUCAACGCCACAGAUGUUGCAGCCAUCACUGAGAAGAACGCAGCAGCUGGGUGUGCUGUAAAUACAAUUCCAGACAGAGUGGAGGGCUGUGGGGUGUAGCAGACGCCUCUUCCUCCAAAAGGGAGGCAUGUGUGCGUGAGUGGGGGCAUGACCUCACCCCCAGGGAACCGGAAACCUGUGCAGGGGCCCAGAGCAUCCCAACACCGACAAGCAGGAGUGGGAGAGACAAGCAGGCCUCCAGGCAGGGCAGAAAAGAAGGGAAGGAACACCCUAAAACAAAAUCCUCCUGCUCUCACUGUGAAAUGCCCCUCUCCUUACUCAGACUUCUGGCUUUAGACAGUCAGAUACCAGAGAAUUCCCAAGGAGGGCAGAGCACAGCAAACUCUUUGCCACAGCGCCUGCAGGACCCAGAGCCGCGUUCAAACACUCAGAAGAGCGGGAGCCAACUACGAGAAGGUGCUGGAACAGGAAUGGCCUGCCAGACCCCUGCCUGAUGGUGCUGUGGGACCCAGGACCUGUGGAUGUUUCUAAACUGUCCUUUUUGGCAGUGGAGCCCCUCUGGUCAAAAGAAAGCUUAGGCAAGAGCUUGGUAUAUGAAAACGGCAAAAGCUCUGACUUGAAGGGAGUGCCGGGGCCCUGGCCGGCCUGGCUCCUCGCAGCUGGGUGGUACCACCAAGAACCACGGCUACAGAUUCACCCCCCACUGGACUGGGGGGGGACGCUGGGGCCUGCUGGGGCCACCGAGGUGAAAGUGAUUCGUCCAAAGUCAGACAACUGGUCUCUUCUCGCCCCUGGAUGGGCUGAAUCAGGUAGGGCGGCUGGGAACUGAUUUCUCCAGACCACCUCGAACUGCCAACCCAAAUGGGCCAGCAUAAGGCCCACAACUCCAGGCUGAAAACCCUCCCCGUAAGCAGACCACUUUUCUAAUUACAUGAACAAAUCCUUUCUUAUUCUGAGUUGGGUCUGGGAAGCAGGCAGACAUUGCUUAAAAACUCACAAAUGUCCUCCUCGCUGCAUCCAGGCUCCUGAUCUAAGCAUUGCUACUGGCCAUUUCUCCCCUUAACAGCAGGAUUAUAUUUACCAGCCUUGGCAAUUCUCAAAAGCUUCCAGGAAAAAAUGCAUGUUGUCAAUUAACUUCAUUAAGAAGGAAGACCCUUUUCCAAGAAGGGGCUGGAAGGGAGGGGCUGGAAGGGAGGGGCUGGGGCGUUACCACCUUCUCUAGAAUAGUGGAAACCCUGCAUUCCCAGCCUGCUGCUCCAGAACUGGCUGCCCAAAGCCCACCGGUAGAGGCAGGUGAAAUGUUGGGAGGGGCUGCAUGGGGACCUGUUUAUAAGCCUCCCACGUUAAAACGGUCCCUCCACCUCCCAGCCCUUCUCUCAGAUUGUGAUUUCAGUCCAAGUCCAGCCGGGUUCACGGGUGGCCGAGUGAGGGGAGAGAACAUGAAAAGGGCAUUAGUUCAAUGACAGCCUGCACUCAACGGUGACAGACAGAAAUGCGCUCCUCUCCACAAAGUCCAGUUUUGUUACAACUAGUCAUCUUUUAAACUCUCUUCCUCCCGGUGGCCUCUUCCCUCUGGGCAAAACUUCCUUUGGGUGGAGGGAGUGAUAGAUGCAUACACCCUGCACCUGUUGGCGGAGAUCUACUCUGGAUGCCUGCCGGGGCAGCAACUGGGACCCGGCACAGGACGCGGAGGAACGGUUACAGCAAUGCAGGGCUAAGGAGGAGACCUCUGCUCUUGGCGGGAUGUGAUGUCCAAGGAAUGAAGACUAUCUUUUGGAAAAAAAAGAUAUAUUUUGAGGGGGAGGGAAUAAAUUUCCUUGGUCAAAUCUCCUCAAAGGCGAUGGCUAGAGCACAUUUUGAUUUUUGUUUUUCCUCUGCUGGCUCUGUCCUCCUGGUGCCCCGCGCCCCCCGGCGGGCGGGCGAGCCACAG